rnacentral:lncRNA from 1 species
UUUGACAAUGAUGGAUAACGAUAAGCCCUUGAAUAUUUCGAUUCUUCUUGGAUCGGAAGAGAAAGAUAGACAAAAAAGUGUAAAGGCAAACUUUGUAUGUACAUGACAAAGAGAGAGAAUUUGCAGAGAAUGUCAAUGUUAUUUUUUACAAAAGUGUUCAUAAAAAUUCCCUCUGUAGAACUAAAUCUAUUCGUAUUUAUAAGGGUACACUGGAUACAAAACCCUAGAUAGUACAACAGAGGGGAAUAUUCGCUAGGAUAUUUCCUAAGGAAUCUAAAUCUUUAAAUUAUUUGCAUGCCAAGUACGGAUGCUCGUCCUCGUCCUCGUUUUCUGUUAAGCCACUUCGACCUCGACGACGAUCUGCCUUCGUCGCGUGAUGUCGACCUUUUGAGGUCAGAUUGUCAUGUCACAUCGUCGACACAUUGCAGCCUUCAAAGACUUUAUCUCCGUUGACCUGGUUAACCUAUGACAUGAAGUUUUUUCACUCAUACACUAACAAUAUUAGUACAAUGAAUUUUCUUUGAAUAACUUUGAAAUACUUCAUCUCUUUCAACAAUUAUUAUAGAUAGUGUGGGACAAAUCUGACAUUAAAAGCAAAUGGGGUGCUACUUUAUACUUUACUCUAACAAUUCAGACAAUCAACUUAUGCUUAAAGACCAGUCCACCAUUGUUAAAUCCUAUAUUCUACAUUAAUUCCCACUUUUACGUUUUCUAUUUUCCCUAAUCUUUUUCUUGGCAAUUAUACUAGGCUGGCAGAGGUGGCAUUUGGCCUUUCUGAAAGGGGUUGGUUGAGGUGGGGUUUCAGUUUCUAUUUCUAAUAUUCUGCAAGGACUACAAAAGGAUAUCAAAGAAUAUUGUGUAUCUUCAUGACAUAUUCUUGUAGCGAAUAUUUUAUAUUAUUUUACUGUUAAAAUUUAUAGUGAGAUGGAUAUGAUCUUCUAUCCUUAAUUAGAGGUUUUAGUACUUUUUUUUAAAUCUCUCCCAAAUUUGAAGGAUCUAUAGUGUUUUUACACUUUCCCUCUAGCGUGACUCGAAUUCAGAACCUAACGGACGUAGGUAAAGAUGUUUUUACCAACUGAGCAAGCCUAAAUCCUUAAACUGGUAAAAAUCAUGUUUUGGAUCACUUCUCACUUUAAUGAACCUUAAGUGUAGUCAAUUCAAAUUAAUUAGAACUUUCAUGCAAGUACCAAAAAUAAAAAAUAUUUUCACAUAAAAAUACAAAAUCCAAAUGGAAAACAAAUAACUCACUUCAAGAUUUGCCUCUGCUUCAGUAUCCCAAUAAAAAAGAGAGUCAUUUAAGUAUGUGGAGUCCAAAAGAGCGUCAUUACCAAUUACCCCGUGACCCACCCACGUAGUAUUCCUCCUCCGCCUGGCUUAAAUUCCAGAAAGGAAAAAGGUGAGCAGACCUCCAGGCUCCAACCAAAAGUUGCCAUAUAUUUUUUCACUUUUGUUGCCCUUUAAUUUCCUCUCUGUCUUACUUUGUGUUAGGGAAGUGAAU